GACGAACGCUGGCGGCGUGCUUAACACAUGCAAGUCGAACGGUGAAGCGCCUUCCUUUUUGGUGGGUGUGGAUGAGUGGCGAACGGGUGAGUAACACGUGAGUAACCUGCCCCCUUCUUCUGGAUAACCGCAUGAAAGUGUGGCUAAUACGGGAUAUUCUGGGUCUGUCGCAUGAUGGGUCUGGGAAAGAUAUUGUUUCGGUGGGGGAUGGGCUCGCGGCCUAUCGGCUUGUUGGUGGGGUGGUGGCCUACCAAGGCGGUGACGGGUAGCCGGCCUGAGAGGGUGGACGGUCACACUGGGACUGAGACACGGCCCAGACUCCUACGGGAGGCAGCAGUGGGGAAUAUUGCACAAUGGGCGCAAGCCUGAUGCAGCGACGCCGCGUGAGGGAUGGAGGCCUGCGGGUUGCGAACCUCUUUCGCCAGUGAAGCAGGCCUGCCUCGUUUGUGGGUGGGUUGACGGUAGCUGGAUAAGAAGCGCCGGCUAACUACGUG
rnacentral:rRNA from 1 species